rnacentral:rRNA from 1 species
GACGAACGCUGGCGUCGUGCCUAAUACAUGCAAGUCGAACGCAGUGGGGACGGGUGAGUAACACGUGGGUAACCUCCCAUCAGAGGGGAUAACACUUGGAAACAGGUGCUAAACCGAUCCUGAUGGAUGGACCCGCGGUGCAUUAGCUAGUUGGUGAGGUAACGGCUAAUCAAGGCCACGAUGCAUAGCCGACCUGCGAUGGUGAUCGUGCACACUGGGACUAAGACACGGCCCGGACUCCGACGGGAGGCAGCAGUAGGGAAUCUUCGGCAAUGGACGAAAGUCUGACCGAACAACGGCGCGUGAGUGAAGAAGGUUUUCGGAUCGUAAAACUCUGUUGUUAGAGAAGCGGUAUCUAACCAGAAAGCCACGGCUAACUACGGGCCAGCAGCCGCGGUAAUAC